AGCGAACGCUGGCGGCAGGCCUAACACAUGCAAGUCGAACGAAGUCUUCGGACUUAGUGGCGGACGGGUGAGUAACACGUGGGAACGUACCUUUUGGUUCGGAACAACUCAGGGAAACUUGAGCUAAUACCGGAUGGGCCCUUAGGGGGAAAGAUUUAUCGCCGAAAGAGCGGCCCGCGUUAGAUUAGCUAGUUGGUGAGGUAAAGGCUCACCAAGGCUACGAUCUAUAGCUGGUCUGAGAGGAUGAUCAGCCACACUGGGACUGAGACACGGCCCAGACUCCUACGGGAGGCAGCAGUGGGGAAUCUUGCGCAAUGGGCGAAAGCUUGACGCAGCCAUGCCGCGUGAAUGAUGAAGGUCUUAGGAUUGUAAAAUUCUUUUACCAGGGACGAUAAUGACGGUACCUGGAGAAAAAGCCCCGGCUAACUUCGUGCCAGCCGCCGCAGUAAAAC
rnacentral:rRNA from 1 species